GAGACAGCGGAGAUUCAUUACCCGCCGACACAAUGACCAUUGAUGGCCCCGUGGCGUUAUUCAAAUCCAGUACCAAUUGCAGCCGAGCCCCUUUCUCCGCGCCAGGCCCGUAUUGUUGGAGCGGCCCACUAAAAGCCCGCCCCGGCCCCGAGCCGCCAGAGGCGCCCGCUCGGGUUCAGCCCUGCGCCUCGUCAGCCCGCCGGCUCCCAGCCCGGCUCCCCGGGCGCUGCAGGUGACCCGGCGGCGCAUUCCAGCGCUCCCCGCUGCCCGGGCCACCGCCGCCACCGCUACCGCCGGCGUCCCGGCCGCGACUCAGCCACAGGGAAGCGGAGAGCGCCCGAGCCGCCCCUCCAGACGGACCGAUGGGCUGAGGCACCUCCAGCCGCUGCCGGAGUCGGAGAAGCGUCGGGAAUGAUGCGCUCCAGCCGGGCAAUCGCCUUGGCUUUGGAAACAGAACUUGGACAAACGAAUCCUUUACAUUAAAGACAAAUCUUCCGAGA